rnacentral:rRNA from 1 species
UACAGAGGUCUCAAGCGUUGUUCGGAUUCAUUGGGCGUAAAGGGUGCGUAGGUGGUGAUGCAAGUCUGGUGUGAAAUCUCGGAGCUCAACUCCCGAAAUUGCACCGGAUACUGCGUGACUCGAGGACUGUAGAGGAGAUCGGAAUUCACGGUGUAGCAGUGAAAUGCGUAGAUAUCGUGAGGAAGACCAGUUGCGAAGGCGGAUCUCUGGGCAGUUCCUGACACUGAGGCGACGAAGGCCAGGGGAGCAAACGGG